rnacentral:rRNA from 1 species
UGGGGAAUUUUGGACAAUGGGCGAAAGCCUGAUCCAGCAAUGCCGCGUGUGUGAAGAAGGCCUUCGGGUUGUAAAGCACUUUUGUCCGGAAAGAAAUCCUUGGCUCUAAUACAGUCGGGGGAUGACGGUACCGGAAGAAUAAGCACCGGCUAACUACGUGCCAGCAGCCGCGGUAAUACGUAGGGUGCAAGCGUUAAUCGGAAUUACUGGGCGUAAAGCGUGCGCAGGCGGUUUGCUAAGACCGAUGUGAAAUCCCCGGGCUCAACCUGGGAACUGCAUUGGUGACUGGCAGGCUAGAGUAUGGCAGAGGGGGGUAGAAUUCCACGUGUAGCAGUGAAAUGCGUAGAGAUGUGGAGGAAUACCGAUGGCGAAGGCAGCCCCCUGGGCCAAUACUGACGCUCAUGCACGAAAGCGUGGGGGAGCAAACAGGAUUAGAUACCCUGGUAGUCCACGCCCUAAACGAUGUCAACUAGUUGUUGGGGAUUCAUUUCCUUAGUAACGUAGCUAACGCGUGAAGUUGACCGCCUGGGGAGUACGGUCGCAAGAUUAAAACUCAAAGGAAUUGACGGGGUCAUA